AGUCUGGGAGCUGAGUGACUGAGGAUUUGAAACCUUGCUAUAGUUACAGUUCAUAACAAGUGUCUAGGCAGUUAGACCUUAAGUGUUCAGGUAUGGAAAGAAAGUCAUAUGUUAUGUUUUAGAUUCUGUUUGUAAAGCUGGUUAACUAGAGACAGCUGAUGAAAAACCAAAUCGACUUGAGUUACAAGAUCUGGGCUUUCUCUGCUCUGCUUUCAACCUGUUGGUUGGUGGUGGAGUAGCUGACAGAAGCGAAUGGCUUGGCUGAGGGACAUGAAGUGACAGCAGCCUGUUUAGGACCACACCACAUUUUGGACCUCUUGCUGUGCAGUUCAGGACAUUUGUGAAGAUAUUUCUGAUCAUGUUGAGCAAAUCCAUGCCCUCCUUGAAACAGAGUUCUCCCUAAAGCUGCUGUCUUACUCUGUCAACGUGAUAGUGGACAUCCACGCAGUGCAGCUCCUCUGGCACCAGCUUCGAGUCUCAGUGCUGGUUCUGCGGGAGCGCAUUCUGCAAGGUCUGCAGGACGCCAAUGGCAACUACACUAGGCAGACGGACAUUCUGCAAGCUUUCUCUGAAGAGACAAAAGAGGGCCGGCUUGAUUCUCUAACAGAAGUGGAUGACUCAGGACAAUUAACCAUCAAAUGUUCUCAAAAUUACUUGUCUCUGGAUUGUGGCAUUACUGCAUUCGAACUGUCUGACUACAGUCCAAGUGAGGAUUUGCUCAGUGGGCUAGGUGACAUGACCUCUAGCCAAGUCAAAACCAAACCCUUUGACUCUUGGAGCUACAGUGAGAUGGAAAAGGAGUUUCCUGAGCUUAUCCGAAGUGUUGGUUUACUUACGGUAGCUGCUGACUCUAUCUCUACCAAUGGCAGUGAAGCA
rnacentral:lncRNA from 1 species